CCCUUACCCGGCAAGGCAGUGCAGAAAGCAAGCCUUGCGCGGAGAGAGCUCUGCCUCCCGCGACCCUCUCCUCGCGCCUUUCCAAUAGCAGGAACUCUAGACUCUAAACUAUCUUUCCCUGUAAGGGAGAGUGGGAGUCCCGCGCGCUUUCGACACGGCUGUUCCGCAGCGGCUCCUCACCAAGCUCCUAGGCGGAUCACCAAACAAAGCGGCUUUGGCGCGUCAGAUUUUAUACAUUUGCUCUGGCUCAGUCAAAAGCAGCGCCGCGACAACGAAGGGAUGGAACUGCCUUCUAGAAGGGAGGGACUGCUCCACCGCAGUUGAGUGAUCCGAACCACGCCUCCUUUUUACUUUCGCUUCGCCACCUUGCGAGGGGAAACAGGAAGGGUCUUCUACAUCGGGUGGAGCAAAUAGAGGGAAGGACCUCCCCCCCCCCCCAACACACACAUAAUACUAGAGCUCGAGGCUGUCCAGCGACAGCAGACGAUUCUAGAUCGGUAAAAGGAAAAGACCUCUAGCCGCGCAACGAAGACUUGGAUAUUUGACUGGAACAUGCGCCCAGAAGGAAGGAGGAGGGCUGGAGAAGAUGCGAGAAAGGUGUCAGCACGUGCUGCCUUGGGAGAGACGUGUAGCUUUGUUGUAUGGAAUCAAAUGCUUCUAGAUGCCUUACUCACUUUUUUGUUAUUUCUCUAUGAGACAAAUAUUUUACAGAUCCCACAGCUGGGUCAGAUACUCAUUGCUGGGGGGGGGUGAUAUUGUGAGCUUGGGUUGGGGACCAGAUCCCCCAUAAUCUCUACAUUAUGUGAAAUGUUAAGAGUUUGACCAAAUGCAUGAGAAACUGAUCUACGAAGUGAAAGUACUGGGAGCCUUGGAUUGCAGGCUCACAAUUAUUAAUUAUUACAGCAUCCUAAUAACAUCCA